AUUGAACGCUGGCGGUAGGCCUAACACAUGCAAGUCGAACGGCAGCACAGUAAGAGCUUGCUCUUACGGGUGGCGAGUGGCGGACGGGUGAGGAAUACAUCGGAAUCUACUUUUUCGUGGGGGAUAACGUAGGGAAACUUACGCUAAUACCGCAUACGACCUACGGGUGAAAGCAGGGGAUCUUCGGACCUUGCGCGAUUGCAUGAGCCGAUGUCGGAUUAGCUAGUUGGCGGGGUAAAGGCCCACCAAGGCGACGAUCCGUAGCUGGUCUGAGAGGAUGAUCAGCCACACUGGAACUGAGACACGGUCCAGACUCCUACGGGAGGCAGCAGUGGGGAAUAUUGGACAAUGGGCGCAAGCCUGAUCCAGCCAUACCGCGUGGGUGAAGAAGGCCUUCGGGUUGUAAAGCCCUUUUGUUGGGAAAGAAAAGCAGCAGGUUAAUACCCCGCUGUUCUGACGGUACCCAAAGAAUAAGCACCGGCUAACUUCGUG
rnacentral:rRNA from 1 species